GUCAAGCUCAGCUCCCGGAAGAUACAGUUUCACGUGCUCCAUGGUUCCCCCGUCCCAACGCCAGGUCGUCCCUGCUCCAAGUGCAGGGAUGACGGUUGGAUUCCUGAGGCUAACACACGCAGCCGGUUGUUAAAAGUUCCAGGACUUCAAAACAAUAUGAUAUACAAUACAAUAGGAAGAGGAUCGAGGAAGAACUAGCCCAAACAACCUGUGACCCGUGACUACCAAUAUUUAUAAGCGACUUAACAGAAAAACAUGCCCAAAGUCGCUUAUAAUAAGUGGACUUGGCAACUGUGGUCACUGCCACAAUCAGGAAGAAAACGCAACCUGCCACCAGCAGCUUUGAGAAGAUUGGUCAGGAUGGUCAAGAGUCUGGAAAAAACACUCAAAAGCAAGUCUGCAAUGAAUCAGAAGCUGCUGAAAGUACAGGUGACAAGUGUGUUUCGCAUCAACAUAAGCUUAGAGGUUGCUGUGCAAGACAGAAGCCCUUGCUCCAGACUCGGCACCGGAAACUCUGCGGUCAGAUGAAACACAAAUUGAGUUGUUAGGCCACAAUGAGCAGUAAUAUGUGUCGAGGCGAGAAAGUGAGUCCUUUCACCCCAAGAACACUGUACCUAUACUGUCAAGCAUGGUGCUGGUAGUAUUAUGCUGUAGGGCUGUUUUGCUGCCAGUGGAUCUACUGCUGUAAGGAAAGUACAUGGAAUAGUGAAGAAAGAGGAUUGUCUCCAAAUUCUGCAGGAAAACCUAAAACUGUCAGCCAGAAGUUUGGUUCUCAUGCACAGUUUGGUGUUCCAACGGGACAACGAUCCCAAACACACAUUAAAAAUAGUAAAGGAAUGGCUAAAUCGGGCUAGAAUUGAGGUUUUGUGAAAGGUCUUCCCAAGUCCUGACAUGAACCCAAUCAUGGACUGUGGUGACAAAACAAGUCGGUGCCAGAAGCUGACUAAUUUCAUUAAACUUCUCAGAUUCUGUCAAGAGGAGGGAUUAAAAUUUCAUCCAGAGGCUGGUGGGUGACUAUGAACAGCACAUAACUGAGGUGAAAAUGUCCAAGGUCCAUUUAACCAAAUAUUAGAUUUAUUGUAUAUUUUUGACCCGGCAGACUCAGUCACAGUUUCAGAAGACCCAUUAUAAAUUCAGACUUGAAGCAAACUUCAUGGAUGUUUUUUUUGUAACAAAAGUAGUUUGUGUUCCUCUCAUUCCAUCACAGAAAAAAUAAGGACUGUAGAAAUCAUUGGAACUGAAGACUACCACGAUUUACAUUUUCUUUACAAGCUUAUGCAAACUUUUGAGUUCACCCCCCCCAAAAAAAGAAAAAAGUUAUCCUCUCAAGGUUUCAGUCCCAUGCUGAUGGAAAGUCUGGUUAAGUUUUGUGGUCCACAAAACAUUUCUGAAGUUUGACAGUGAAAAAACAAAAAUGUUUUGCAACAUUCUUGUAAAGACCCCCUUCAGAGAAUGUUUUCAACCUUGCUAACCUGUCAAAAUGGUGUUUUCUGUAUUAUGUGAGACAUAUCAUUAGCAAAAUAACCAACCCAUGCCAUAGCUGUGCAUUUCUGCUUUAGACAUUUUUUUUCCAAAAUUAGGUCCACAGGAAAGGAAUGUGACCUUGGCAACUCUAUGUCAAAAACUAAAGGAACCAAUCGUGUCAACUUGUGCGGUGGGGCAAUCUCAUUAACUGGGAAAUAAGCUGUGAAGCUCCGGAAAUGUUUUGCAAACUACGAAACUUCAUCCGACUUUACGCCUGCAUGGGCAUGAUCGGAAAUUAUUUGAUUUUUCAUUUUUGGGUGAAUUCAUCCUUUAAAGGUAAAUUUACCCAACAAUAAUAGUCCCACAUUCCUCAGUCAACUCUCACUGUCAUGAAGCCAUUAUAAAGGCUCAAAUGAGUUUUACAGGCCACAAUUAGGAACUUUCCAGUGCUGAUACUCAUUUCAGUGUCAGUUGCUGGAGUUCAAGUUAAGGUGAGGCUACAAAGUCUAACCAGAUGCUGAAACUAGGCCUCUGAGCCUCUCCCUCUUAAAUGUUAGUGCUUGCCUACAGAUAGCACCAAUGUUUCCUGUGGUCCCCUCGUUUGUCUUAAGUGAGGUAUCUGAAGUAGGUGUCUAUAAGUAUUGUAGAUAUACUCACUAUCAUUAUUCAGUGCUGGACUGUACAACAAAAUAAUAUGUACAAAAAAUACAGAAUUAUAUGUAGGCCCAGUUGUACACACAUUAAUAAUUUUUUUGCGAGGACCACUUAUUAUUUCUUCUCUCGAAAAAGAUCCUGAAAUCUGUGAAGAACUGAAAAACUGAUGCCUAUAUAUGACCAACAAAAGCAAACAAGACCAUGAGAAAGAAGACUGGCUGUUUCUGUCAAAAUAUUAUAGCUUUUCUUAAUAUCUGUCGGUGAGGUGGAUUCCAGCUGAUCCAGAUUGGAAAAGUAAUACAAUAAAUGUACAAUUGUACAAUGACUCAUUAAAAUAACAUGCUGAAGCAGAGGUCUAUAAACCAGUUAGCAUUUA